UUCAGGAAGCCUGCCUCUCCUCCCACUUCGCCCCUUCUCUCCGCGCAGCAUUAUGCUCUGUUGGUGGCUCUGGGCUUUGCAAAAUGUCGCGAUAUUCCCGCCCCCAGCCCCGGCCUGACCCCCGCGCCCCCAUCCACCCUGGGCCUGGCUCCCCCUCACCUCAGCAGGAAUGGGCUCCCGACCCACUCAGCCCGAGGCGGGGGCCCUGAGGCUCAGCCCGGCGCCCAGGCUGGGUUUCGCUUUGCCCCCUUGCUUGGCGGGGCUGCCUGCACAUCCCCGCCCCGUCUGUGUCCCGGGCAUCCCGCCAGCUCCCACCACCUCCACCGCGCCCCCGGUGCCGCCGGUGUCCCCCUGCCGGAUGCCCCGCCUUCCACCACGCGGGCCUGGCCCUCAUGUCGACGGGCAGACCUCUGCCCGCACACCUCCGGGUCUCAUCUCUCAUCCCCGCACCAUGGACGGACGUCUGGUAGGACACAAGGCAGCUUCCCGCCCUGGGUCUUCAGGAAACUUAGCCCCAGACAAGAAGGCAAACCUACUGGCGCUGUGGCUUUUCAUUGCACCGGGGGCAUCUGCCGGCCAAACUGGGUCACAAACUACCAAAAAUGGAAAAGGACGGGAAGCAAUUCUCCUGAUGGACUCUGUGUGGUGCGGCUUCCCCUGCAGGCUGUGGGCGCAGCGGGGAGAGGGAAGGCUCGUUGCCAGCCUGCUCUGUGCCAGGGGAGUCAGGAGAACGUGAAGAAACAACACAGGCCUUGAACAGCGAUGCUGGGGAAGGGUGAAUUCACUUUUGCCUGAGGCCCCAUGUUCUACCGGCCAAGGAUUUCCAGGGAAAUCAAACCUGCCUGGCUGGCUUCCGUGGAAAAGAAAAGAGCCCAGAGACAUGGGCAGAGGUGUUGUGGCCCCCAAUCCCUCAACAAUAAGCAAGGUGAGUCCCACGCACAGGGUGUCAAGUCGGUGCCGUGAUAUUUAUGAGAGUACCAGCUGGGGAAGAGCCGUGAGCAGUCGGCCCUGUGGUUUAUUAGCGAUCAGCCGCCCUGGCCGCUGAUUCUAAAGGAAACCAACAUUAAAGGAAAUCAACCCUGAAUAUUCAUUAGAAGGACUGAUGCUGAAGCUGGAGCUCCAAUAUUUUGGCCACCCGAUGCGGAGAGCUAACUCAGUGGAAAAGACCCUGAUGCUGGGAAAGACUGAGGGCAGGAGGAGAAGGGGGCGGCAGAGAAUGAGAUGGUUGAAUGGCAUCACCAACUCAAUGGACAUGAGUCAGAGCAAACUCUGGGUGAUGGUGAAGGACAGGGAAGCCUGGCGUGCUGCAGUCCAUGGGGUCACAAAGAGCUGGACACGACUGAGCAACGGAACAACACCCACAGCAAGCUUACUUGGAUGGCAGAAAAGAGGGUCCAGUUUAAAUGACCAACACAACAGACCUCAGAAAGGGGAACCAAGGAGACCACGAAGCCUCCCCUCAGAGCCUUGGGGCUCCUACAAUGACCUCUCACGGUUUUGCUUGGUUUGAACUUAAAUGUUUUCUUUAAUAUAUUAGUUUAUGAGGGUUUCAUUGAUUAUCAUAAGAUAAAUGAUGUCACUUUGAAAAACAUUUUCUCUCUUUCAUCAUUUUAAAUAAAGGGGGCGAUACAUCAAAUGGCA
ensembl:lncRNA